rnacentral:lncRNA from 1 species
AGCAAACGUGAUCCAUCAUGCGCCAUCUUCUUUCUAUAUGUGCUUUGUUUAGCUAGGCCUUUUGUUUCACAUCUUCCUGAUAGCAUCUGCUGCCAUCACCGGUGCAAUUGCCUUAAGUCACUUUGUCGUAUUAACCUUGAGCCGCCGUGAUCAGUGGAGUCACCCGCAGGUCACCACAUCGGAUUAACAUGGCAUCAUAGCCUGUUGAUCAACGUGGACCAGAUGUGAGAU